AUGGAAGAUGAGCUUCACCGGGCUGGCUCCUCGGACCUGUCCAUGCUCUGUAGCCAGGAGAGCUGGUCCUUCCCAGACCUGGAGAAGGCGUUCAUCCAGGACCACAGCCUGUCCAUCUCGGCUCUGUCCGGCCUGGCUCCCCGCUCGGAGAUCGUAGUCGAGUAUGUGGAAGGGCAUGCUGGGAUGCUUGCUCCCCAAAACCGCUCGCCGGCCCUCCUGUCGCCUUCCCCCAUGCUCCUGAACGUCUCCCUCGCGGCCCGUCAGCCGGGGGUCACCUCCGCUCCCUUGAACAGCAAGUCUUCCACUCCCUGCGAGGGACAGUACCCCAAAAAGCCCACGCUGCAGAGCUCCCCCGAGCUGUCGGGCUCCGACCUCUCUGUGCUACCACCGGCCGCCCAGCCCGCUUGGGAGAUCUCCCUGAUCAGAGGCAUCCAGGACAGCCCGCAGUCCCCCCUGGAGUCCAGCCUGCUGGAUGUGGCCGAAUCCACCUGGAGCCCUGCCCUGAAGUCGGCCCCCUGUUCCUUUCACGAGGGCUUGAACUUGCCCUGGGGUGGCCUCCCUAACCAGGCCAACCUCAGCACUGAUCUCCACAGGUCCUGGAAGGAGUCGACCACUCUAGGGUAUGGCCACGCCCCCUCUCUCGCCUUGCCCUUCACCGAGGACCAGUGGCAGAGGUACAUUUCCACCACGUCCUCUGGUGCAGAAAGCAAAGAUCCUGGCCUGAGCGGCUAACCAGUUGCAGAAAUCUGUGCAGGGCUUGAAGGGGAGCACUGUUUAUCGAUUCAAAAGUACCGUUUAAUGUUAAUGAUGCUUUUUCACUUGGGGCUACCCAUCAACUAUACUACACUUCAGGCUGUGAAGUGUAAGGAGAUAUGAAUGUAUUGGGGAAGGAUAAUGUUGUCAGAUUUGAAAUGUUUAUAGAGUUAACUUAUUUCAAGCGUUAAAUAA
ensembl:lincRNA